rnacentral:lncRNA from 1 species
CCCUUUUUGAAGAAAUAUUGGAGAAGUCUCCAUUCCGGGAACCUCCUCCUUCUCAUCCAUGGAAAGGGAAGAAGGAUGCCUGGAGUGGGAUAAAGAAAAUAUAGAAAAGGAAGGGAGUGUCUUCACAUCCCAGCGGGGCACAUGGAGGAGGAGGAGGUGCUGACUAUGGACAGCAAGAAGCAACAUCACCAUCACAAAACACCCACCCAGGGCAGGGGCCCUUUCAACAAGGAGCAUAAGAGACUGUUUCUGCCUCUGAUGGAAGCCCAGCAUUUUGUUUUUCUCCACAUAUUUUAAUCAAUAUUUA